rnacentral:rRNA from 1 species
AUGGUUGAGUCAGGAAAGCAUGAAUAAUAUUAUAUUGUUUACAAACUUCUUAAUUUGGUGCUCAUUAUUCCGAUAGCCACUUCUAGUAUUGAAAGGGUAUUUUCCUUAGUGAACUAUGUGGAGAAUCAACUAAGGAACAAAAUUGUUGAUGAAUAUUUAAACAAUUGUUGGGUUACAUUUGUUAAAAGAGAAUUCUUCAGGGAAUUAAACAUGAGGAUGUCAUCAAUCACUUCCAAAAAAGGGGAUCAUAUAGUUAUAUUGUACUUUCCUUUGUUUUGUAAUCUUUAUUAA